AGAGUUUGAUCCUGGCUCAGAUUAAACGCUGGCGGCAUGCCUUACACAUGCAAGUCGAACGGCAGCGACGGGGGCAACCCUGGUGGCGAGUGGCGAACGGGUGAGUAAAGCAUCGGAACGUGCCCUGGAGUGGGGGAUAACGUAGCGAAAGUUACGCUAAUACCGCAUAUUCUGUGAGCAGGAAAGCAGGGGAUCGCAAGACCUUGCGCUCUGGGAGCGGCCGAUGUCGGAUUAGCUAGUUGGUGGGGUAAAGGCCUACCAAGGCGACGAUCCGUAGCGGGUCUGAGAGGAUGAUCCGCCACACUGGGACUGAGACACGGCCCAGACUCCUACGGGAGGCAGCAGGUGGGGUAAUUUUGGACAAUGGGCGAAAGCCUGAUCCAGCCAUGCCGCGUGAGUGAAGAAGGCCUUCGGGUUGUAAAGCUCUUUCGGUGGGGAAGAAAUUGCAUGGGCUAAUACCCUGUGUAGAUGACGGUACCUGGAGAAGAAGCACCGGCUAACUACGUG
rnacentral:rRNA from 1 species